GAAGAAAUCUGUGUUGGUAGAGUGACAGGCAAGCAUAAACACCAUCAUUAGAAAGGCAAAGGAGAAAAGAGGGCAUCCACUGGGUGGAAUAAGACCAGAUCCUGUUUUGGUCAGCAGAAUUCUGACCAGAAAACAAGUGCUGCUGGUCUCCUACCUCCAUUUGAUAAGCUGGAGUGCAAUGGCAUAGUCAUGUCUCACUGCAACCUUGCUCUCCCAGGUUCAAGAGAUUCUUCCACCUCAGCCUCCCAAGUAGCUGGGACUACAGGUAGACAUUGUUGAAGGAUACCUCAAAGUACCCAGAAGGACAGGAGGAAUUGCAGAACCUCAGGCUGGAGGGUAUCCCUCAAAACGAGCAAGACACAGCUCUGCGACUGGAUGCAAGCCAAGAUCCUAGAUGACUCAAUUUUUCACUCUAUCAGAUGAAGACAAUACUUGCCAUCUCCCAAAUAAAGGUUAUGAGGAUUAAUCUGUCCAUAAUGCAUUUGGAGAUCCUUGCAAUAAAGAUUAAAACCAUGUAUAAAAUUUACUAUAUUUUAUAGGUGUGAGUUUUCAAGAUCAGUUAUCUUGAAACUGUUUAUUCCCUAAGAAUUGGGCCUGCAGUUUAAUAUCCUAUGACAUGAAAUACAUGGUUCAAUCUUAGUUAGGGAUCCACAGUCUUCAAUAACUAGGCUUCUGUUGGUAUAGUUAAUUAAGAGAGAUGAUAGCAAUUCUCCACUUACUAUUUUUGCCUGCAUUUAUCCUUCCUGAAAUAUGGUUGAAAUUUAAAACAUGGAAGCUGGUUACUACUUACUCCUAGACACCAUCCUAGAAGUAGCACAAGAUGGGUCAUA
rnacentral:lncRNA from 1 species